GAUGAAGAACGUAGCGAAAUGCGAUAAGUAAUGUGAAUUGCAGAAUUCAGUGAAUCAUCGAAUCUUUGAACGCACAUUGCGCCCGCCAGUAUUCUGGCGGGCAUGCCUGUUCGAGCUUCAUUACAACCCUCAGGCCCCCGGGCCUGGCGUUGGGGAUCGGCGGAGCCCCCCGUGGGCACACGCCGUCCCCCAAAUGCAGUGGCGGUCCCGCCGCAGCUUCCAUCGCGUAGUAGCUAACACCUCGCGACUGGAGAGCGGCGCGGCCACGCCGUAAAACACCCAACUCUUCUGAAGUUGACCUCGAAUCAGGUAGGAAUACCCGCUGAACUUAAGCAUAUCAAUAAGCGGAGGA
rnacentral:misc_RNA from 1 species